AUUUAAAGAAAGCGUAAUAGCUCACUGGUCGAGUCGGCCUGCGCGGAAGAUGUAACGGGGCUAAACCAUGCACCGAAGCUGCGGCAGCGAACGUAUCACUUAAAGCGAUUCAGCGGGUUACGAUUGACGGAGCGAAGCGACGUCAAAGCGUAUACAAAGUCGAGUCGGUUUAAGGAUACGUUCGUUGGGUAGGGGAGCGUUCUGUAAGCCUGCGAAGGUGGCCUGUGAGGGUUGCUGGAGGUAUCAGAAGUGCGAAUGCUGACAUAAGUAACGAUAAAGCGGGUGAAAAGCCCGCUCGCCGGAAGACCAAGGGUUCCUGUCCAACGUUAAUCGGGGCAGGGUGAGUCGACCCCUAAGGCGAGGCCGAAAGGCGUAGUCGAUGGGAAACGGGUUAAUAUUCCCGUACUUGGUGUUACUGCGAAGGGGGGACGGAGAAGGCUAUGUUGGCCGGGCGACGGUUGUCCCGGUUUAAGCGUGUAGGCUGGUUUUCCAGGCAAAUCCGGAAAAUCAAGGCUGAGGCGUGACGACGAGGCACUACGGUGCUGAAGCAACAAAUGCCCUGCUUCCAGGAAAAGCCUCUAAGCAUCAGGUAACACGAAAUCGUACCCCAAACCGACACAGGUGGUCAGGUAGAGAAUACCAAGGCGCUUGAGAGAACUCGGGUGAAGGAACUAGGCAAAAUGGUGCCGUAACUUCGGGAGAAGGCACGCUGACACGUAGGUGAAGUGAUUUACUCAUGGAGCUGAAGUCAGUCGAAGAUACCAGCUGGCUGCAACUGUUUAUUAAAAACACAGCACUGUGCAAACACGAAAGUGGACGUAUACGGUGUGACGCCUGCCCGGUGCCGGAAGGUUAAUUGAUGGGGUCAGCGCAAGCGAAGCUCCUGAUCGAAGCCCCGGUAAACGGCGGCCGUAACUAUAACGGUCCUAAGGUAGCGAAAUUCCUUGUCGGGUAAGUUCCGACCUGCACGAAUGGCGUAAUGAUGGCCAGGCUGUCUCCACCCGAGACUCAGUGAAAUUGAACUCGCUGUGAAGAUGCAGUGUACCCGCGGCAAGACGGAAAGACCCCGUGAACCUUUACUAUAGCUUGACACUGAACAUUGAGCCUUGAUGUGUAGGAUAGGUGGGAGGCUUUGAAGCGUGGACGCCAGUCUGCGUGGAGCCGACCUUGAAAUACCACCCUUUAAUGUUUGAUGUUCUAACGUGGACCCGUUA
rnacentral:rRNA from 1 species